rnacentral:lncRNA from 1 species
GUUUUGUUUGUUUCGUUUGUUUUGUUUUGCUCGAGCACUAGCAAAAGCUAAGUGUGGGGGAAUUUGAUAAGAGCAUAUUUAUGCGACUUAGUUAGCUUGUUCUUGUGCAUUUAUGUUGUUAUUUCUUGGUCAAUUAUGUAUUUUAAGUUAUUUUCGUGUGUUUGUAGGUUCAAAUAACAAAGUUAGCAACAAAGUGCUUUUGGAGCAUUUUGGAGCAUUUUUGGGCCAAGAUUGGAUAGUGCAAGCAUGAAGACAUGAGGAUGGACGAUUUUUAAGAUUUGAAGGCUAGAAAUCAACAUGUGUGUGUGCAAGUGUGUUAACCUACAACUCCAAACAUCCAUUGACUACACCCAUUACAUCCACUCAUUACCAAACAUCCACCCACUACACCCAUUACAUCCAUUCAUUACCAAACAUCCAUCCACUACACCCAUUACAUCCAUUCAUUACCAAACAUCCAUGAUGUGAGAAUUACUUGACACACAAAUUAAACCCUCUUUUUGACAAUUGUAGUAUAGAUGUAAGUAGGGUAUCGUUCUAGGCCGGGGAUUAGGAGGGAUUGCUAAUCUAUCCUAAAUUAAUUUAAAAAUAUUAAACAAGACUCAAGGAUACAAAACUAGGCUAAAAACUCUAAUAACUCGAAACACACUUAAAAUGACUCAAAAUAAUGGAAACAAUUAAA